GAGCAUCGUAGCCACGACGCGAGAGGUC
rnacentral:sRNA from 1 species